GAUGAACGCUGGCGGCGUGCCUAAUACAUGCAAGUCGAGCGAACGGACGAGAAGCUUGCUUCUCUGAUGUUGGCGGCGGAUGGGUGAGUAACACGUGGAUAACCUACCUAUAAGACUGGGAUAACUUCGGGAAACCGGAGCUAAUACCGGAUGAUAUUUUGAACCGCAUGGUUCAAAAGUGAAAGACGGUCUUGCUGUCACUUAUAGAUGGAUCCGCGCUGCAUUAGCUAGUUGGUAAGGUAACGGCUUACCAAGGCAACGAUGCAUAGCCGACCUGAGAGGGUGAACGGCCACACUGGAACUGAGACACGGUCCAGACUCCUACGGGAGGCAGCAGUAGGGAAUCUUCCGCAAUGGGCGAAAGCCUGACGGAGCAACGCCGCGUGAGUGAUGAAGGUCUUCGGAUCGUAAAACUCUGUUAUUAGGGAAGAACAUAUGUGUAAGUAACUGUGCACAUCUUGACGGUACCUAAUCAGAAAGCCACGGCUAACUACGUG
rnacentral:rRNA from 1 species